GUGGGGAAUUUUGGACAAUGGGCGCAAGCCUGAUCCAGCCAUUCCGCGUGCAGGAUGAAGGCCUUCGGGUUGUAAACUGCUUUUGUACGGAACGAAAAGCCUCUGGUUAAUACCCGGGGGUCAUGACGGUACCGUAAGAAUAAGCACCGGCUAACUACGUGCCAGCAGCCGCGGUAAUACGUAGGGUGCGAGCGUUAAUCGGAAUUACUGGGCGUAAAGCGUGCGCAGGCGGUGAUGUAAGACAGUUGUGAAAUCCCCGGGCUCAACCUGGGAACUGCAUCUGUGACUGCAUUGCUGGAGUGCGGCAGAGGGGGAUGGAAUUCCGCGUGUAGCAGUGAAAUGCGUAGAUAUGCGGAGGAACACCAGUGGCGAAGGCGGCUUACUGGUCCAUUACUGACGCUGAGGUGCGAAAGCGUGGGGAGCAAACAGGAUUAGAAACCCGGGUAGUCC
rnacentral:rRNA from 1 species